rnacentral:rRNA from 1 species
GACGAACGCUGGCGGCGUGCCUAACACAUGCAAGUCGAGCGGAGAUAGACUGAUGGUAACUGAAGUUUGUCUUAGCGGCGGACGGGUGAGUAACACGUGGGCAACCUGCCUUGGAGUGGGGGAUAACACCGGGAAAUCGGUGCUAAUACCGCAUAACAUACACAAACUGCAUGGUAAGUGUAUCAAAGGAGCAAUCCGCUUUAAGAUGGGCCCGCGGCUGAUUAGCUAGUUGGUAAGGUAACGGCUUACCAAGGCGACGAUCAGUAGCCGACCUGAGAGGGUGACCGGCCACACUGGAACUGAGACACGGUCCAGACUCCUACGGGAGGCAGCAGUGGGGAAUAUUGCGCAAUGGGGGAAACCCUGACGCAGCAACGCCGCGUGGAGGAAGAAGGUCUUCGGAUUGUAAACUCCUGUCUUCUGGGACGAAGUAUGACGGUACCAGAGGAGGAAGCCACGGCUAACUACGUG